UUUGAUGUAGGACGAGAUAUGGGUCAUCUAUGGUGGGAAAUAUUAAUUAAAAUAAAGUGGCUUGAUCAAAAAUAGGCAAAAUUUACCCCAUACUUUCAUAAAUGUCAAUUUUUAUAAAAACUUUCAAAAAUAGCCAAAAACUCACUUAAAUAGACUCAAAUACCUUCAAAAUUAGAAACAAAUAAAAGAAGGAAUGAAG
rnacentral:lncRNA from 1 species